rnacentral:tRNA from 1 species
UGGUAAGUAGUUUAAACAAAACAAAUGAUUUCGACUCAUUAAAUUAUGGUAACCAUACUAACCAA